rnacentral:ncRNA from 2 species
UCCUGGUUUCCACGGCCUUCGUAACGGGGCCUGGCCGGUGGCGUGAUCCCAUGCCCUUAUUUGGUCAUGCGUCGGAUCACUGCCGGCCCGAUCCCGCCGUCUCGCCGUCUAGUGA